CACCUAUACCACUAUAGAGCAAGAGUCCAGAGAUAUUGUCCACAUUGUAACCAUAGACAAGAGAUAGACGAAUCGGAAUUCAGUUAUUAUGGAGAAAGAAGGGUUCAUCAAGACCAUGGAUGCUCUGCUGCAGGAAAUUCCAGUGAAAGAAGUGGUCACAGAUGCCCACAGACAAAUCACAGCAUUACUAGAUCCAACACGGGGAAAAUACAGACAGUGGGGUCUUCAUCACUCCCUGGACAUUUGGCAUGCAGCCAAGAACCUCGCAAAAAAACUGAAGGCUCAAUCAGCAAUCCUGCAGUGGCUGAGACACAUUGUCAACCAUUUCUGGUAUUGCUGCAAACAAGCCACAACGGAAGAGAAAUUCAAAAUAAUGUGGCAUGGUGUUCUACACCAUGUAAGGGACAAGCACCAGUGGUCUUUUGCCAGCUGCGAACAUGGUCCACUUGAGGACAGCAGAGACAAACAGCAGCA